GACGAACGCUGGCGGCGUGCUUAACACAUGCAAGUCGAGCGGUAAGGCCUUUCGGGGUACACGAGCGGCGAACGGGUGAGUAACACGUGGGUGAUCUGCCCUGCACUUCGGGAUAAGCCUGGGAAACUGGGUCUAAUACCGGAUAUGACCUCCUAUCGCAUGGUGGGUGGUGGAAAGAUUUAUCGGUGCAGGAUGGGCCCGCGGCCUAUCAGCUUGUUGGUGGGGUAAUGGCCUACCAAGGCGACGACGGGUAGCCGACCUGAGAGGGUGACCGGCCACACUGGGACUGAGACACGGCCCAGACUCCUACGGGAGGCAGCAGUGGGGAAUAUUGCACAAUGGGCGAAAGCCUGAUGCAGCGACGCCGCGUGAGGGAUGACGGCCUUCGGGUUGUAAACCGCUUUCAGCAGGGACGAAGCGCAAGUGACGGUACCUGCAGAAGAAGCACGGGCUAGCUACGUG
rnacentral:rRNA from 1 species